rnacentral:rRNA from 1 species
GUAGUCAUAUGCUUGUCUCAAAGAUUAAGCCAUGCAUGUCUAAGUAUAAGCAAUGUGUACAGUGAAACUGCGGAUGGCUCAUUAAAUCAGUUAUCGUUUAUUUGAUAGUACCUUACUACUUGGAUAACCGUGGUAAUUCUAGAGCUAAUGCAUGCUAAAAAUCCCAACCUCCGGGAGGGAUGUAUUUAUUAGAUAAAAAACCAAUGCCCUCGGGCUCUUUGGUGAUUCAUGAUAACUUAACGAAUCGCAUGGCCUUGUGCCGGCGAUGGUUCAUUCAAAUUUCUGCCCUAUCAACUUUCGAUGGUAGGAUAGUGGCCUACCAUGGUUUCAACGGGUAACGGGGAAU